ensembl:miRNA bta-mir-125a bta-mir-125a
UGCCGGCCUCUGCGUCCCUGAGACCCUUUAACCUGUGAGGACGUCCAGGGUCACAGGUGAGGUUCUUGGGAGCCUGGCGUCCGGCC